CUUCAGCGAUGGCAAGUCUCCUUUCAGCAGCAGGUGUAGGUGAUUUGCUGAAAUAUUUCCUAGCCUUACGCUGCCGGUUUUUUAGAUAAGAGAGUUCACUGUUCCACCACGCAAAUUUCUUAGGGACGGGAGCCCGGCGUCUUGGUACUUCCGCUUGUAGAACCUGGUAUAAGCGAUGGUAGAAAAUAGAGACCGCUUCGUUGGGAUCGCGACAGGAAAGUUCUGUGUUCCAGUCAAUUUGUGUAAGCAAAUAGUUGAUCCGGUCAAAAUCACACCGUCCGAAGUCAAAUUGGUCAUCGGGGUCAAGGGAAACAUGAGAACUCGCUUCAUCAAAUGUGUAGGACAGUAGCAAAGGAGGGUGAUAGGCGUCCACGUUCAGCAAUGGAGUUGGAGGUUCAAGGACAUCCCAACUUGCGGCUUCACUAACAAACGCGAGGUCCAAACGCUUGUUGUCCUCGUUCAACACAUGGUUGAUUUGUUGCAACCCGGCAUCAGCAACUGCAUCGAGAACCACGCUUUCUUUCGUUACCUCCUCGCCAAAAGACCUAGACAGUGGUAAGAGGCACCCCAGAUCCUCGUCAGGAAACCAUGUAACGUCCGGCAGGUUGUAGUCACCUAUCAGGAGAAUCGAAUCAGCUUCCGAUAUGUGACUAUUCAGUUGUUGAAUGCAAUCGGCAUGCAAUUCAUAUCUGUCGAAUCCAACUGAAGGGCUGAGGUAAACUGUGCAAAUGACUAGCGACGAUUCUCCGAUGUUGACCUUAACGCAUGUUUGUUCAAGCUGCGUGGCAUUAUUAAGGGUGAUCUCGGAAGGGUGAAGGUCAGGUUUGACUGCAAUUAAAACUCCACCUCCUCGGCUCAGAUGACUAGUAGUAGGAGUCCUGUCACCACGGUAUACUACGUAGUUCCCAGCAAAUUCAGAGCUUAAGAUAUUGUCUGGGAGCCACGUCUCGGUCAAUAUUACGACAUCGUAAUCACAUUCUGCCAACGAUAGGAACAAUUCACUGACCUUGGUUCGCAGUCCGCGAACGUUUUGGUAAUAAAUUGACCUGACAUUUUUGUUGUUGUGUUGACCAAUGUCAAUCCCACUGUGGUGUAAGUUGACACCCUGUGAUCCUUCGUUGAUGGUGCUGGUGGAUGAAGGUCCAGCUGACGGGAGGAUACGCACACUAGCCUCAGGGUGGAUGACACGCACACUAGGAGCACAAGGGGCACCGGUGGCCCGCGUACUUCUACAAAACAGGCUCCUUCUAUCACUGGCACUAACGCGAUGCUGUAGCGUGCUUGUAUUUGUGGGAUGCAGUCCAGACGUAUUACUGGUACUGGGUUCUAUGGGAUUGUUUACAUCACGAGAAGGACCGGUCAGCCAGACAUCGCGGGCCGCGGAAAACGUUGUAAUUGCAGGGUGCUAUAGUAACACCAGCGGGCCAGAAGUUCAUAGAGUGAGGCUGGUGCAGAUUACGGCAUUAGGCGGUAUGUUUUUGGACGCUAUGUACCUGCCGACGUCAUCCUCCGUCGUCUCCGGAGCCAGGUUCCGUACACAAAAGGUAAGGCAAUCAUCUAGUCUUCUGGUGCUUGCAGCGUUCUGUGCAGCACCAUGUAGACUCACACCGCGAGCUGAACGACUGUUUUGUUUAGCCGACAAUGGAUGCGUGUGUCGAUUGACUGCAACAUUUUG